rnacentral:tRNA from 1 species
GAGGCUAUAGCUCAGGUGGUAGAGCACAUACUUAACAUGCACAAGGUCCUGGGUUCAAUCCCCAGUACCUUCU